rnacentral:rRNA from 1 species
GACGAACGCUGGCGGCGUGCUUAACACAUGCAAGUCGAACGGAAAGGCCCUGCUUUUGUGGGGUGCUCGAGUGGCGAACGGGUGAGUAACACGUGAGUAACCUGCCCUUGACUUUGGGAUAACUUCAGGAAACUGGGGCUAAUACCGGAUAGGAGCUCCCGCUGCAUGGUGGGGGGUGGAAAGUUUCGGCGGUUGGGGAUGGACUCGCGGCUUAUCAGCUUGUUGGUGGGGUAGUGGCUUACCAAGGCUUUGACGGGUAGCCGGCCUGAGAGGGUGACCGGCCACAUUGGGACUGAGAUACGGCCCAGACUCCUACGGGAGGCAGCAGUGGGGAAUAUUGCACAAUGGGCGGAAGCCUGAUGCAGCAACGCCGCGUGCGGGAUGACGGCCUUCGGGUUGUAAACCGCUUUCGCCUGUGACGAAGCGUGAGUGACGGUAAUGGGUAAAGAAGCACCGGCUAACUACGUG